rnacentral:lncRNA from 1 species
UCCUGUCAUUGGCCAGGUUGGCUACUGGAAGGGCUCGGACCCAUUGCCCCAUUGUUGGUCUUGUAUUUUGCAGUGGUUGUGUGUGUUGGCACAGAAGUGGGGGAAAAUGGCCCGCUUUUUGCUGUAGAUCUUUCCAGGAGUGUUGAGAGGUGGGGCACGUUUGUCAGGACAGCAUGUCGGAAGACAACUGGGCAUUUUGGGGGGUCCCGGUCUUUGCUCUGAGGUGUUUCCCGCCCUUCUGUUCCUGUGCAGUGGAGGGGAAAAUCAAAUCCUCAGCCAAGUCUCUGGUCAAAAGUCACGAGAUGAGUGAAAUCUUGGGUCUUUAAAAAUAGCGUCUUGAAAUAAUACGUUCUGUGUUACUUGGUUUAGAGCCUGGAAUUUUCAUUUUUUUAUAUUCUCUAGCUUUUCUCCAAAACCCAGAGGGAAAUAACAAAAUUUUUUCUUAAUGAAAGCUGAGAUUAACAUCUAAUCAUCUUCCCCUUCAGAAGCUGAGGUUUUAGGAGCACUGAAUAUUACCGACUUAACGUUAAAAUGAUAAGUUUGGACAAUAGUGCUUGCUUUUAAGUGCAGCUUUGAAGAAGUCUGGCUGAGGGAAACCAUGGGCCCAAGACCAGUGGAGAAAUCUGUGAAGCGACAAAAUCUGUGAAAGGAAUAAAAGGGGAGAAGGAGAUGGGACCGUAUGGAGGCCUUGGGCAACUGAAGUAGAUCCUGUACCGUGGCCCUGUUUAGAGACCUCAGAAGAACAUCAGCUCUGGCACUACUUCGCAUACUUAACGUCUUACAAAGUUUCAAACAGCUACUAUAAUAAAGAACACAAGAUGCCACCAAUAACCCAGCAUAAAGAUACUUCUUCUGCAUCCUUGAGAGUGUUGUUCCAGAACUUUCCUGGCCUGAGAUGCAGGAGGGAGAAGCAGAGUCAUUGUCCACAGCAUUGAAGUCUGAUCAGUCAAGCUCUCAGGAGGACACUCCUGCAAGAAAGUGCUGCUCCUCCUGCUACUCCUUCUGUAGCCAACAGGUGAAGAAAAGGCAGAGUGGUUUUGUCUUCCCGCUUCUGAUAAGAACAAAAAUAUGUGCUGUAAUGCCGUUCUGACAUAAGAAUAUGUGCUGGUGAUCACUGGUAUGCUGAUAAUGAUGGAGCCAUGAGGUGUGAUCUGAUACAGCCUGCAACAGGAGGGAGCAGCCAGCAGGGCUUGUACAUCAGCAGAAUGGUUCAGGUAGGAAAAAAAUGAAACACCAUUAAAAUCAGAGGAAUUUAGCCUAGAAUAUUAUUUCAGUGUUUGGACAAAUGCAUUUAUGCAAAUUGUCUUAUUAGCAUAGCUAGCUCUGCAGGAUCUUCAGUGACUGAUGAAGGAUUUCUCAUAGGUUACUUGUUCAGAAGAUUCAUUAUUCCGUUUUCGUUCCUUUGAUGGAAUUCAGUUAGUCAGAAUUGAUAAAAAUUGGAGCCCACUCUCUCCCCAGCACAGACCUAAAUUAAAUUCCUUCUUAGCGGGAUUAAACAACAUUAAUAUGAAUUAUUUGUGUGA